rnacentral:rRNA from 1 species
ACUCCUACGGGAGGCAGCAGUGAGGAAUUUUGCGCAAUGGGGGAAACCCUGACGCAGCGACGCCGCGUGGAGGAGGAAGGUCCUCGGAUCGUAAACUCCUGUCAAGAGGGAAGAAUGCCGCAGGGAUGAAUAAGCCCUGCGGUUGACGGUACCUCUGAAGGAAGCCCCGGCUAACUCCGUGCCAGCAGCCGCGGUAAU